rnacentral:lncRNA from 1 species
UGAACGAGGGAUGGUAGAAUGGGACAGUAGUGUGAAGGUGGAUGAAGAUGGUAGAAUGGAACAGUAGUAUGAAGGUGGAUGAAGAUGGUAGAAUGGAACAGUAGUGUGAAGAAGGUGGAUGAAGAUGGUAGAAUGGAACAGUAGUGUGAAGGUGGAUGAAGAUGGUAGAAUGGAACAGUAGUAUGAAGGUGGAUGAAGAUGGUAGAAUGGAACAGUAGUAUGAAGAUGGUAGAAUGGAACAGUAGUAUGAAGAUGGUAGAAUGGAACAGUAGUAUGAAGAUGGUAGAAUGGAACAGUAGUAUGAAGGUGGAUGAAGAUGGUAGAAUGGAACAGUAGUAUGAAGGUGGAUGAAGAUGGUAGAAUGGAACAGUAGUGUGAAGGUGGAUGAAGAUGUGAUAUGGAAUAAUAAAGAGUUAAAGGGACUGAGGUGGUGGCUGGUCUUUUUGUCCAAGUUUGUUCCUGUUCAUCCCCCUCUAUAUUGUCUGUCUGU